rnacentral:misc_RNA from 1 species
GAUUACAAUUACUAUGAGGACGACGAUGAUUUCGAGAGAGUAAGUGGGGAUCGGAGCCUUGGUAGGGCGAUGGCUGACUCUCGAGGGUGGGUGCCGAGAAGAGGAGUGCAGUGGGUGGUUCUAGGAGACCCUGGGGUGAAGAAGCAUGUUUAUGCAGAGAGGCUCGCCAAGCUUCUAGAUGUCCCUCAUAUUUCCAUGGGGAGCCUUGUUCGUCAGGAGCUUAAUCCUCGUUCUUCCAUCCACCAGCAGAUUGCUAGUGCAAUCAAUGAAGGAAAGCCUGUUUUGGAAGAAAUCAUUUUCAGACUGUUGUCAAAGAGGCUAGAAGAAGGGUAUUG